CGGGACGUGGCGCAGCCUGGUAGCGCACCUGAAUGGGGUUCAGGGGGUCGCGAGUUCAAAUCUCGCCGUCCCGACCA
rnacentral:tRNA from 1 species